AUUCAGCUGACGAGUCCCGAGUAGGAUGAAAUGCGUGUCAAACUGGAU
rfam:Schistosoma mattheei strain Denwood, Zambia genome assembly, scaffold: SMTD_scaffold0013000